CAUUCUAGGAAAAAAUCUUUCAAUUAACAUAUUGAAAGAAAUUCAUCCAUAUCUCCAUGUUUGAAUCUCCUGUCAUUAAAGGGCUCAGAAAAACAGAAGUGAUUUUUAAAAAUAUGAU